rnacentral:lncRNA from 1 species
AUGGCUAAAACAACAACAACAACACAGAACAUUCCGGCGGCGGGCCGGCGUCAUGGCAACGCCCUUGCAUGGCAAUCCAAUUUAUUGAACUACAGAUGCUGGGUUAUACAAAAUACACCACUUCAAUUAAGGCUUUUAGUUUACAUUUGGCCACCCCUCUUUUCCCUCCCCACCCCUCCCCUUGCCCAUCCCAUAAUAGGCAGAUGACGUUGCAUUUCCAAUACUGUGGCUCUGUAAGGGGGACAUGGUACACAUGGUCUAUCCACCAGGACUGAUGCUGUUGGUUAGCAUCACAGCAACACAAAGCAACAAAGGCAUUCUCUUACAAGAGGUCAACAGAGGUCACGCAACUCACAACAAACGUGCAACUUUAACCCCCCCUCCCCUCCCUCCCUGCGUCUCAAAUGGCAACCUAAGCCCAUAGGGCUGUGGUCAAAAGUAGUGCACUAUGUAGGGAAUAGGGUGCCAUUGGGGACGCACACCCCGUCUCAUCCAAGUUCUGCCUGUUCCUCCUCCUCCUCCUCAUCAUCUCUACAUUGCUGUGGUUCUUAUUGUAUUUCAGUCUUAUUCCCUGCUGCUUCAAACACAUUAGUUUGUCCCCCCUCCCCCCACAUUCACUAUAGAACAGAUAACCCCACACGGUUACUCUUCAUCACUAUCAUCAUCAUCACCAUCAUCAUCAUCCGACAGACUGACAGGAAACAGGUGAAAUAGUCACUAACAGGCAAGUUUCUUUACUGACAGGAUCCAAUAUUUGGUUUUCAUAUCCUCAGCUGACAACAGAUGCAUUAGCAAGGGGACAGGGGAGGGGCUGGGGAAGAGGGGAGGGGCAAGGGCUUGGGGAGAGGGGAGGGGCUAGGGGAGAGGAGUGAGAUGGGGAAAGAGACUAGAGGACAGGGGGAGAUAGGGGAGAGGGGCUAGGGGAGGGGCUGGGGAAGAGGGGAGAGGGGCUAGGGGAGAGGGGCUAGGGGAGAGGAGUGAGAUGGGGAAAGAGACUAGAGGACAGGGGGAGAUAGGGGAGAGGGGCUAGGGGAGGGGCUGGGGAAGAGGGGAGAGGGGCUAGGGGAGGGGCUGGGGAAGAGGGGCUAGGGGAGAGGGGCUAGGGGAGAGGAGUGAGAUGGGGAAAGAGACUAGAGGACAGGGGG